GACGAACGCUGGCGGCGUGCCUAACACAUGCAAGUCGAACGAACGAGCGAGAGCUUUCUUUCUCGGGCGUUUGGCGCACGGGUGAGUAACGCGUGAGGAACAUCCCCCUAUAAGGGGGACAACAGUUCGGAAAGACUGAUAAUACCGCAUAUGCUAUCUUCCACCCCUCGGGUCAAAGGAAAAGGGGCAAUCCGCUUUGACAUAGACUCGGAUCCGAAUAGCUAGUUGGUGAGGUAACGGACCACCAAGGCAAGGAUGCGUAGCCGACCUGAGAGGGUGAUCGGCCACACUGGAACUGAGACACGGUCCAGACUCCUACGGGAGGCAGCAGUAGGGAAUCUUCCGCAAUGGGCGAAAGCCUGACGGAGCAACGCCGCGUGAGUGAUGAAGGUCUUCGGAUCGUAAAACUCUGUUAUUAGGGAAGAACAUAUGUGUAAGUAACUGUGCACAUAUUGACGGUACCUAAUCAGAAAGCCACGGCUAACUACGUG
rnacentral:rRNA from 1 species